rnacentral:lncRNA from 1 species
CCCUCCUCUCUCCCUCCUCUCCCUCCUCCCUCUCUCUCUCUCUCUCUCUCGUUUUUCUCUUCCUUUCUCUUUCUCUCUCACCCUCUCUGUGCAACUCUCUUGGUCAUUCUCCUCUCUCUGUGCAACUCUUUCCUAUCCAGUAUUUUGCUCUGCAAAUUCCAUCCACCUUUGCCUCUGAAUUCUCAACUCCGUCUCCUCAGCGCAGGAAGACCUUCAGACUCCCAGCACGGUGGCCAGGAAACACUCUGCAAGCAAAAGCUAAAACCUGGAAAUGGGAGGCGGGUUCAAUCUUAUCAGCUGUAAUGAACUACCCAGACUCCCUUGAAGAUAAGUCACAAAGGACAAGCAUAAUGUCAACUGAAAAAGAAAUUGAAGUUCCCUAACUUUGGGGUUCUCUUCUGUAACAUAACCCUCUGCAUGGACAAGCAUCACCCGGUCUUCUUCACAUGACCCUGUGGAAAUUGGGCUCAGGAAACUGACAUAGAUGCUGACAAUUUGUGCUACUGCUAUUGC